UACGAAGGGGGCUAGCGUUGCUCGGAAUCACUGGGCGUAAAGGGUGCGUAGGCGGGUUUUUAAGUCAGAGGUGAAAUCCUGGAGCUCAACUCCAGAACUGCCUUUGAUACUGAAAGGCUUGAGUAUGGGAGAGGUGAGUGGAACUGCGAGUGUAGCGGUGAAAUGCGUAGAUAUUCGCAAGAACACCAGUGGCGAAGGCGGCUCACUGGCCCAUUACUGACGCUGAGGCACGAAAGCGUGGGGAGCAAACAGG
rnacentral:rRNA from 1 species